rnacentral:rRNA from 1 species
GAUGAACGCUGGCGGCGUGCCUAAUACAUGCAAGUCGAGCGAAGCGGCGGACGGGUGAGUAUUGCCUAGGAAUCUGUCUGGUAGUGGGGGAUAACGUCCGGAAACGGGCGCUAAUAUCGCAUACUCUCAGAUGAGCCUAGGUGGGAUUAGCUCGUUGGUGGGGUAAAGGCCUACCACGGCGACGAUCCGUAACUGGUCUGAGAGGAUGAUCAGUCACACUGGAACUGAGACACGGUCCAGACUCCUACGGGAGGCAGCAGUGGGGAAUAUUGGACAAUGGGCGAAAGCCUGAUCCAGCCAUGCCGCGUGUGUGAAGAAGGUCUUCGGAUUGUAAAGCACUUUAAGUUGGGAGGCGUUACCGACAGAAUAAGCACCGGCUAACUUCGUGCCAGCCGCCGCGGUAAUUC